CUGAAUAGAGACAGGUUUUGGAGGAGAGGAACCGAAUAUUUGAUAUCCGAUUUCAAUAUUUAGAAGAUGCAACAGCAAGAAGAACUCUUGGCUUGUCCCACUGAUGUACAGCAGUGGCUCAGCGCAGUUGGGCACUUGAGACCAGGUGAGAUGCAUGUGGCAGCAAUGGACUGACAAGCAAGUGAAAAAGUUCCUGCAGCAGCAGCAGCAGCAUUAGCCACAGCUCCCUGCUUUGAGACUGGGAAUCAGCUACCAUGGAAACGUUGGAAAUGCCCUUUUGUUACCGUUAUUUCCUAAAACACUGUAGAAGAAGAUCAUCUCCUGGCAGUACUGUGAAAAAAUAUGACUUUGUCAUUACUCCUCU